UAAUGUCUGGGAAACUGCCUGAUGGAGGGGGAUAACUACUGGAAACGGUAGCUAAUACCGCAUAAUGUCGCAAGACCAAAGUGGGGGACCUUCGGGCCUCAUGCCAUCAGAUGUGCCCAGAUGGGAUUAGCUAGUAGGUGGGGUAACGGCUCGCCUAGGCGACGAUCCCUAGCUGGUCUGAGAGGAUGACCAGCCACACUGGAACUGAGACACGGUCCAG
rnacentral:rRNA from 1 species